rnacentral:rRNA from 1 species
UACGAGGGGGCAAGCGUUGUUCGGAAUUAUUGGGCGUAAAGGGUGCGUAGGCGGUCUGACAAGUCUGAUGUGAAAUCUAUGGGCUCAACCCAUAGUCUGCAUCGGGAAACUGUCGGGCUGGAGUAUGGGGAGAGGUGAGUGGAAAUUUCCGGUGUAGCGGUGAAAUGCGUAGAUAUCGAGAAGAACACCGGUGGCGAAGGCGGCCAACUGGACGGUGACUGACACUGGAGAACGGCGAAAGCGUGGGGAGCAAACAGG